GGAUUACCCUGUGACGGCUGAUUUGGAUGCUGUAGUUUUUAGACAUGUACCACAUGCUUGUGCAAAAGAAAAUGUAAUGGAAAUGAAUAGCCGACAAAUCAUGUUACUACUAAAUAGAUGUUUGUAAACAGUUGAGAGAAGCACCUGGCA